rnacentral:rRNA from 1 species
UACGUAGGGUCCGAGCGUUAAUCGGAAUUACUGGGCGUAAAGCGUGCGCAGGUGGUUUUGUAAGCCAGAUGUGAAAUCCCCGGGCUUAACCUGGGAACUGCAUUUGUGACUGCAUAGCUAGAGUACGGUAGAGGGGGAUGGAAUUCCGCGUGUAGCAGUGAAAUGCGUAGAUAUGCGGAGGAACACCGAUGGCGAAGGCAAUCCCCUGGACCUGUACUGACGCUCAUGCACGAAAAGCGUGGGGAGCAAACAGGGAU